ACGUGUGGGCCUUUCUUUCUUAUUUCCUGAUAACCCCCUGCAGAAAUAGACAAACACCAAAACUCGUGGAAUUCUGUGAGAUAAAACCCUAAGUCUUGAUGUUGAUUUCAUUUGGAUCCUUUUCUUUGUUUAUUUGAUAGUUAAAUUUGAUACUUAAGGACCGUCAACAAACUCCCCCAAGCUUACCUCUUGCUCGUCCCUGAGCAAGGAUAGACUCAGCAAUGGAUCAGAAGUUGUUGCAGUAUCUUAAAAAUUUAACGGUACACAUGCUUUUUAAAUAAGUUCUCAUCUCUGAGUUAGAGUAAACUGUCAAGAACUAAAACUUACUUACUUUACCUUUCGCCAUGGGACUUGUAACCGUCACUUCUGUCUUGAGUGGUUAAAAGAUAGAACAGUCUAGCCAAGUGCCAUGUCUCUUAUUCUUGAUCAGCUAUAGCUCUGGAGUUUUUGCAAAUUUUCAAAUAAAACUCAGAGAUUCCUUGUAUGACUCUCUAAAUCUCUCUUUUGUGGUAUUUCUGGAUCCUUACCAAGGCAGUGAUGGUAUAUGCCUUCUCUCAAAAUAUGUGGUAUUUGUUGUAUAAGGCAUAGUGACAUUGCCUUCUCUCUCACCCUACUCUAAUAAGGCUUUAAUAUCUGGAGCUCAUAGGUGGGAGAUAAAAUAUACAUACUUACAAGACAUUUAUUGUAUAGUCAAACCAUGGAUCCAAAGAAACAAAUCAAUAAGCCAAAUCAAGAUGUGCAUGUGUGGCGAAUGAAUAGUGUAUGGUGAUGAUGGUGAUAACAAUGGUGAAAGUCUAAUUCUACUUUUGCUCUUUUGAGGGGAUACAUACCUUCCUUGCUUUUUGAAACUUUAUGAGGAGAAUGAGAUGCUCUUCUUUUUCUUUCCUCUCAGGUGGGUAUCUUGUACCCCUAAUUCUACUGUCGGACACUUGUCCAUUUUUACCUCUCGUCUCACUUUUUCUUUCUUUCGAGGUUCCGGGCACUUGCCCCUUUUUAUUUCCUCGUUUAUUAUUAUUUUUUUUUCUUUUCUUCUCUUUUCUUUUUUUUCAGAGCACUCAUCUCCUGAAAUAAUGUAGCAAGUGGUAGUAACCAAAAUAAUUGGAGUAUUUAUUUCACAGGGAAUAACAGGGAUAGGAAAAUAUUUUUGGCUAUUCUCUCCCGGAUUAGGAGUAGAAUGAUUUUGGGUGAAACUGGAGAUGGAAAUGGAUGGAUAUAUGUGGAUGGUACUUCCGUAGUAGAAGUAGCAUAUAUGAGUGAACGUGCAAGUGAAUCUUGAUUUAACCACAUGACAAGCUCCUAAGGGUCUACACAGCUUGACCACACUCAAUGCUUAUAAGCAGUGAAUAAUAAAUGUGUGGCUCAAAGUCUAGCAAGCAUGUAUAUAUGGCUGUGGUAGGAAUUUAAACUCUCAUCAUACAGGAACUCAUCAUGCAACAUUUUAAAGAUUUUCAAAGAUAAAAUUCUCCAGAAUUCUAGCAUCUCUAGGAACAGAUAAACAGCAGCUCAACCUUCCCAUAUCUUAUCCGUUAACAACUUAGAUUUCAGAUCAAGUUUUCAUCCCACAAGUUUAGAUCUAGAGCAAGCUUUAAAUUAUAACAGUUAUGUCUAAACUUGAGAGAGAACUUUAAAUUUGCAAUUUAGGCAGAGCAACUAUUCAUCAUAUCCAUGCUAGAGUUUUAUUAUUAAGAUUCAUAGCAAACUUUAUUUAUUUAUUUAUUUAUUUAUUUAGCAAACU
rnacentral:lncRNA from 1 species